rnacentral:rRNA from 1 species
AUUGAACGCUAGCGGGAUGCCUUACACAUGCAAGUCGAACGGCAGCACGGACUUCGGUCUGGUGGUGAGUGGCGAACGGGUGAGUAAUGUAUCGGAACGUGCCCAGUAGCGGGGGAUAACUACGCGAAAGCGUAGCUAAUACCGCAUACGUCCUACGGGGGAAAGCAGGGGAUCGCAAGACCUUGCACUAUUGGAGCGGCCGAUAUCGGAUUAGCUAGUUGGUGGGGUAACGGCUCACCAAGGCGACGAUCCGUAGCUGGUUUGAGAGGACGACCAGCCACACUGGGACUGAGACACGGCCCAGACUCCUACGGGAGGCAGCAGUGGGGAAUUUUGGACAAUGGGGGAAACCCUGAUCCAGCCAUCCCGCGUGUGCGAUGAAGGCCUUCGGGUUGUAAAGCACUUUUGGCAGGAAAGAAACGUCGCGGGUUAAUACCUCGCGAAACUGACGGUACCUGCAGAAUAAGCACCGGCUAACUACGUG